rnacentral:snRNA from 1 species
AAGACCAUACUUUCAGGGAUCAUUUCUAUAGUUCGUUUCUAGAUGAAGCUUCUCUGAUCGUGUAGAGCACCCGAAACCACGAGGAAGAGACGCAGCGUUUUCUCCUGAGCGUGAAGUUGGCUUUUGGUGCUGUUUGUGCAGCUGCC